rnacentral:rRNA from 1 species
UACGGGGGGGGCAAGCGUUGUUCGGAAUUACUGGGCGUAAAGGGCUCGUAGGCGGCCAACUAAGUCAGACGUGAAAUCCCUCGGCUUAACCGGGGAACUGCGUCUGAUACUGGAUGGCUUGAGUUUGGGAGAGGGAUGCGGAAUUCCAGGUGUAGCGGUGAAAUGCGUAGAUAUCUGGAGGAACACCGGUGGCGAAGGCGGGAUCCUGGACCAACACUGACGCUGAGUGAGCGAAAGCCAGGGGAGCAAACGGG